GAUCAUGGCUCAGGGCGAACGCUAGCUACAGGCUUAACACAUGCAAGUCGAGGGGCAGCAUGAACUUAGCUUGCUAAGUUUGAUGGCGACCAGCGCACGGGUGAGUAACACGUAUCCAACCUUCCCGUUACUCUGGGAUAGCCUUUCGAAAGAAAGAUUAAUACCGGAUAGUAUCGAGAGAUUGCAUGAUAACCCGAUUAAAGAUUCAUCGGUAACGGAUGGGGAUGCGUUCCAUUAG
rnacentral:rRNA from 1 species